rnacentral:rRNA from 1 species
ACGAACGCUGGCGGCGUGCUUAACACAUGCAAGUCGAACGGUAAGGCCUUUCGGGGUACACGAGUGGCGAACGGGUGAGUAACACGUGGGUGAUCUGCCCUGCACUUCGGGAUAAGCCCGGGAAACUGGGUCUAAUACCGGAUAGGACUGCGCGGUGCAUGCCGUGUGGUGGAAAGAUUUAUCGGUGCAGGAUGGGCCCGCGGCCUAUCAGCUUGUUGGUGGGGUAACGGCCUACCAAGGCGACGACGGGUAGCCGGCCUGAGAGGGCGACCGGUCACACUGGGACUGAGACACGGCCCAGACUCCUACGGGAGGCAGCAGUGGGGAAUAUUGCACAAUGGGCGCAAGCCUGAUGCAGCGACGCCGCGUGAGGGAUGACGGCCUUCGGGUUGUAAACCUCUUUCAGCAGGGACGAAGCGUGAGUGACGGUACCUGCAGAAGAAGCACCGGCCAACUACGUG